CCGAAUUCUAGGCUAGUAUAUAUAUAGCGGUCAUUCAACAGUAGUAAUAUUCAACGAUUACUGCAUCUUAGAAAACGUAGAAAAGAGGAAUACGGACGAAGAACAGAAUCUAAAUCAAAUAACAAAAUGCCGCACAGUCGACUUGUGAUAUACAUGGCACUGUUUCUUGUUUUGGCUCAACUUGUUGAAAUAUCAUCCGCCAAGCGUAUAAAACUUUGUCGGUUAAACCGAAGAACAAACACGUGCCAUGACGUCAAUUUUCGUAGGAUUGGGCCGAUCCGGUACAAGAAAAGUCUAUGCGAGAUUGCGGGAGGGCGCUGCACAUUAUUCAAAGGACACAUUAGAACAAGGUGUUUUUGUAACAGUAGAAGUGAUGUUUAAAAUAAGAAAGAAAAAACACAUGCUUGUUGAUCUCAUAAGACAAAACAGAUCCAUGUCUAGAUCCAGGUAUAAAUGCAAAAGUAGUUCUCGAGGAAAUAGACUGAAGUGAUUGAUUCAUAAUGACGCCUAAAUAGCUACUCACAGGUCAUCAUACCAUCAACUAGAUCUAUGUUGAAUAUUGUUGACCUUGCAACGCGGUUCAAACACAUACUAGUAUAAGAAACUACUAUUGCGUGGUGGAUAAAAUUCUUAAUUUGACAGUCCAAAAAUAAAGAAAAAGAAGAGAAAAAGAUAUUUUGCUGAACUGAAUAUUACGCAAUAACCUAUAGGUUGUGUUUUAUCAAAUUUUGAUAUAUUAUUGCUUUUGUUACUUUUAUUAUUUAGUUGAAUGAUCUAUCAUUCAAAAUGCGGCAUUUCAUUAUUUUGGAAAACUAGUGUUCAAUAGCAUGCAGUAUGCAAUGGCCAGUUUAUCAAUACUCACAAUAAUGGACAUAUGAGAUUUUCUUUUGUAAGUAGUGUAAUUUUACGUAAAUCGUCUGUGACUUUUUCACAUGGGUGUAUCUAAGGUUCUCCUCCUUUCUUAUGAUAUAAAAAUGUAUAUGACCCUUUUCUUCCUAUUUUUCUAUUUUAAGACUUAGGAAAUCUUAUUUCCCCAGAGCUGUUUUUAAUAGAUCGAAAGAGAACUUUUUGUAGCUGAAAAACAAGAUUCUUUUUUUUUUCUUAAAGUCUGAUGAAUAUUCAUGCUCACCACUUCCACUCUCUGUCCAGUGUAAGACCAGUUGCUGAAGUUUUAUAAUAAAUAAUGUGUCCAAAAAAAUACAUUUUUAUCGUUUUAUUUAGCUACAAAGUCUUUUCCAGAAUUUAUCAUAUAGGAUGUAGUAUAUAGACGGACAAAUGUCACAACUUUAAUAUACCAUAGCGAAAACGUGAAAAAUACUUGUCUCCCUUUCUGUUUUUAUAUGAGUACAUUUUUUCUGGUCGUGUUUUAUUUAUGAUAAAUCAUAUGUAAACCAGAUGUAAGAUUCAAGAAUCCACGGAAAAGGAAAGCUGUCAUCAUCAUCAUCACGUCUGCUGCGAGUGUGCUUGGUUGCGGCAUAUACUUCCAAAAGCGUUAUUAUGUUAUAGAAAAUAUCACGCAUUUGCAAAAGUACAUUUGUAUUGUCUUAAUUAAGCAGAUUUCGCUGAUACAUUGUUUGUACAAUUCAUGUCACAAAUUAUUAUGUCUAGUUUUGUUUCAGUUGUGGUAAAUAAAACAGGGUAUACUAUGAA
rnacentral:lncRNA from 1 species